GAGGAGUUUUAUUCUUGCUUUUUCGUUCAGUGUUUGUUUGUUUUAUAUGUAAGUUUGUGCGUGGUUAUGUCUUUUAUCUCUAGAUGGGGUAUAGAGGUUUUAAUUUUAUUUCAUUCUCAUUAGUUAUUAUUGGUUGGUCAAGUAUUUUUGUAUUUAGCAAUUCAUUUUAGUUUCGGUUAAAUUUUGUGCCAGCAGCCGCGGUUAUACCUUGGAGGCGUUUGAAUGUGUUCGGCAAUUGUAGUUUUAUGUUGAAUUUGUUGAUUUUAAUAUUUUGGUUUGUAGGUGAAAUUUUUAUUGAUUGUUUAUUGUCUUAUUUUAUUUUGUAGGCUAUUAAAUUCCUUUUUUAGACUAGGAUUAGAUACCCUAUUAUUUUGGAACGUUAAUUUUAUUUGUCUGAGUAGUAUUAGUUAUGUUCUUGAAACUUAAAGAAUUUGGCGGUAUCUUAUUCCAUCCAGAGGAAUCUGUCUCGUUAUCGAUAGUCCGCGUUGGACCUUACUUAGUUGCUUUGGUUUGUAUACCGCCGUUUAUUGAUUAUCUUUUUAGAGUUUAAUAAUUUUCUGGUUUCUUUAUUUUGAUUUAUUUCAGGUCAAGGUGCAGCUUGUUUCUAAGUGUAUGAUGGAUUACAUUGUUAUUAGUUUUUAUUGGAUUGUUAGUUUUUAUAUUAAUAUGAAAUUGGAUUUGGUUGUAAUGUUUUGUAGAUUGUUUUCAUGAUAAUUGGUUCUGGGAUAUGUACACAUCGCCCGUCGCUCUCGUUUAUUUUAAUGAGAUAAGUCGUAACAAAGUGGUUGUACCGGAAGGUGCAGCUGGAUUGAU
rnacentral:ncRNA from 1 species